AAUAGAUACCCCGGUAGUCCACGCCGUAAACGUUGGGCACUAGGUGUGGGGACCUAUCGACGGUUUCCGUGCCGUAGCUAACGCAUUAAGUGCCCCGCCUGGGGAGUACGGCCGCAAGGCUAAAACUCAAAGGAAUUGACGGGGGCCCGCACAAGCGGCGGAGCAUGUUGCUUAAUUCGAUGCAACGCGAAGAACCUUACCUGGGCUUGACAUGCAGAGAAAAGCCGUAGAGAUACGGUGUCCUUCGGGGCUCUGCACAGGUGGUGCAUGGUUGUCGUCAGCUCGUGUCGUGAGAUGUUGGGUUAAGUCCCGCAACGAGCGCAACCCUUGUCCUAUGUUGCCAGCGGAUAAUGCCGGGGACUCGUAGGAGACUGCCGGGGUCAACUCGGAGGAAGGUGGGGAUGACGUCAAAUCAUCAUGCCCCUUACGUCCAGGGCUGCAAACAUGCUACAAUGGCCGAUACAAAGGGCUGCUAUUCCGCGAGGAUGAGCGAAUCCCAAAAAGUCGGUCUCAGUUCGGAUCGAAGUCUGC
rnacentral:rRNA from 1 species